GCUGCUUUAAGGAUGCCAAGCCCAGGCAGUAUGCCAGGUGCUGAUUGUUCAGAGCUCUUAGCACCAGCUGGCUCCUUAUUAGGGCUGCAUUUAGUGCCAGCUACAAAGUGUAUAGAAGUGCUGUAGAGGAUGCAGCCGUGCCAUGGUUGAUGGCAGCAUGAGAGCGAAAAUGUGCUGGUGUGCAGGGGCACUGCAGUUCAAAUACAAUGAAGAGGGAAAGGACUACUGGCAGAGAAUCACAAUUGAGACCCCAGUCCUCUAGGGGCCUGCCAGAUGCCUGCCUUUGUUUUCAGUGAUCUAUUCAGACAGUAUGAAGUGAAGAGCAUGUGAAAAUCCCAGGGGUUUGAGUCAGGCGAGCCUUCUGAAAGGACCCGAAGUGAUGUAUUAUGCCUUUUUCUGUCUGGAAAAGGAUAGGUCUACUCUCCUUGCCCUCAAGGUAGGACAAAACUCAUUGGGAGCAUACAGGUACACUUCAGCUUAAAUCAUUGUUCCCUGAUGGACCCCAAACUGGGAGAAUAUAUAGUUACCACAGCGGCUUUGACUGAUGUCUCUUCUUCAGCCCAUCUCCUCACUGGGAAACCCGUAUUUGCUUCCUUUCUUGAUGCAGAGAUAAAAAAGGAAAAAGAAAUGCUGGCCCAGAAGCAGAGCCAAGUGAGGGUCUUGGCGUAGAAAAUGGCCUCAUACCACUGCCAGAAGGAGGGAAUGCUGGAAAGAAGAUCCCUGGCAAGGGUCUGCCUUCACUUUGCGCCAUGUAAGCAGCCCAAUGUGAGACUGAAGAUGAACAGACCUUGUCUCAUACUGUUUGGACAUCACGGUCAUGUAGAAAGCCUCUGCUUUAAUUUUGUCUAUGCCAAUGAAAUGAAAUGUGCUAACUUGUAUUCUCAAGUAUCAAGCCAUUUUGCAGAACUCGAAAAUAAACUUAAGUAUUAUUUAUACCCACUGUAUCUGCGUAAACAAGAUUCAAAUAUAUGUUCUCUUCUUCACAGAUAUAGACAAAAAAUUUAGUGCUGCUUUUUGAUGACAAUAAAAAUUAUUUGCCUCUCCAACUAUAAACUUUGGAGGAAUGCAGUUUUUCCAGUAUCGCCUGAUUUUCAUUGUGCUGUUGCAGCUUAGAAACUACUUUUCCUGAGAUGCUUCUUUUACUAAAACCUGUGAGUUCAUAAUAAGGCAAAUAUAUAUAUGUGUACAUGUAUGUAUAUAUAGUCCUAAUAAAUGCACUAAAUAUUUAUUUUCAAUUAAUUAUCUGUCAGAGUGGGAAAAGUUUUGUGAUUUGUCUCUAUUUGUGCCUAAGCCCUUGGAUUUGUCUGUAUUUGGGGAAGAGAUCAUUAAUGGUUGUUCAGAGCACAGAGCAGCCCUUUUGCUUUGUUGUAUUGUUUCUGAAUGCUCUGCUUGCUACAAGUGAAAACAGAAAAAUAGUAAGAACCAGAAAUGAAUGUGGAAAAAUCUUUGAACAUAAAACUAACACUAAUUUAAUGCUCUAAAUUGUUAAAAAUAAGACACAUGUAAAUAAUUUGUUUGUGUUUGUUAAAAGAAGUUCUGUUUAAUGUUAAUUUAGUGAAAUUCAGCUGUUGCAUAAACUUCUAGGAAUUAUUUGAAGAUUCUUAGGAAGAUUAAUUGGUCUUUUUUUGGACUGGUACUUGCUAGCUACUUUUUGAAAUAAAGUAGAAGAGAAUGAGAAUACAUUAAAAAAAUGAAUCCCCAGCAGACAAAAGAGAACACAAAAUAUAAUGCAUAAAUUCUGGCUGAUAUGGAUAAAUUUUUUUUAAUUCCAUACAGCUGUGCUGAACUCAAAGCAGCGGAGGUCGUGAGUACCUUUGUGCAUAGCUCCAAGCCCACACCAAUGUAACUCUGUUGUUACAGAACUGUCAGCCAUUGAGGACCCCAGCUUAUGGAUGGGAGUGUGCUUGAGCCCACUUUCAGCAAAGGGAGAGUUGCUGAUUAAAUUAGAAGUCACUGGGGGCUGCCUCAUUUACUCUGCAAAGUGCAAAUGAUUGACACAGUAGCAAAUAGCAAACAUGUACUUAAUAUAUACGAGAAACAUAGGUGUGUGUAUGUGUGGGGAGAUGUAUAUUUAUAUGUAUCCACGUAAGUAUAUGUAUAUAAACUCAGAAUAUGUAGUUUUGCAUAAUCCCGUGGUCCCCCUGCACAGCACUGUAUAGAUACAACACCUUCACUCUCUGUGGACAACCCAACUCCAAAUGUGACAUGCUUUAGUCUAAAAAUGGGACUGUCCUGAUCCCAAAGAGCAGUCCGUUUCAGCAGAUAUCCUCAGCAAGCUCUGCUGUGCAGAGGGCACCAACAGGAGCACAGGGGGUAGGAGGAGGGGCAGGUGGGCUCUUUGCAAUCAAGCCCAGUACUCUGCUGUUCUCACCCCUAUGCUGCCCAUCUGUUGAUGCAGUGAAAAUUCCAAAUUGUUUAUUGCAGCGUAAGUAACCAUUACAGUAUUGCUCUCAAAAUAAUAGAGAAAUUUUUGCAAUUAUAAUAAAUUUACAUCUAAAUGAUACACUGGGCUAAGAAAAUAAAUUUGCUGCAAAGCAAGAAGGUGAAGGUUCAUCUCCUAAAUGCUGGGCUGUCCCUGGCUGCAGGGCUAUCAUGUGUCUUCAGCCAUUAUUCCUUUGGUAUCUGUCUGAUUACACCAGUCAGCAUGCAAACAAAAAAUGUGCAUUUUUCUUGUGCCUGUGUUGCAUUUAUUAUGCUGUUUUAAUGAGCAGUAAAUAUUCCUGUUUCAAGAGUAAAUUCUACUUAAGACUUAAAAUAAGGUGCCCGCACUUUUUCUAUUAACAAACUUGAAAAUUAAUUAAGCAUAAGUGGGAGGCAGACACUGAGGUAAGGCAGAUCACUAACUUAUGAUCAAACCAUGUCUAUUACCAGUGAGAAUUCAGCCCAUCCCUUUCUGGCAAAAAGUUUACUUUUGAGAGUGAAGCAAACUGAACAAAUAAAUCAAUCAAUAAAUCACCUUCCCUUGCACUUCGAACAUUUCAACUCAAUGUGACUUAAUUUGCAGUAUAAACUGUGCUGUCAUAUUUUACAAAGCUACUUUUUGACAGAGAGUUAGGCUUCCUAAUGUAAAGUCCGGUUUUCUUCUUGUGAAAAAUACACCAUCAGCAAAACUAAAGAAUCUGUGGGGAAGGGAUUGCUUGAUAAAGGACAGACUAACACUGCUGAAAAAAGAAAGAGAGAAUGCAGUGGUGUGAACAGUGCAAAAAUUCUCCAAAACAUUCACCUCGUCCUCCCUUGUGCUGGGGCUGGCAAGGUGAGGAAUGCCCUCCUCCUGCUCUAACCAGCAAGUGGGACAUGGAGCUGGAAGUUUAACGCUGAGCUGCAUCAUGGUGUGCAAGUUAAUGGAAUGACAUUGGCUUAAGAGCAAAAUCUGCUGCUAUUCACACCAAAAGAAUAUUGAAAUGAAUGAGAAGAGGUGAUUAAUUUUGCCAAUAUUUGUAAUAGGAAACAUUUUAUUUGGUUUUAAAGAAACUUAAAGAAUUUCAAGUGGGCUUAUGCAAUCAGAAUCUCCACAAAUAAUACAAAGUUUGUGAACAAAUGCUUUGCAUUGAAGUGUGGCUUCUGAACACAACAUGCUAUGUAGAAAAUUACAUCUUGCACUCCAUGGAGCUGCAGCAGUUUAUCACAGAAACUUCCUGACUUUACAACUACCUGAGGUGCAAUGCAGACACAUUAGACUAACUUCAUUUCAACAGCAUGAUUUUAUCCUUAUUAGCACUUUAGAAGAUAAAGGAGCUAUAAAUUAUUCUGAU